UACGGAGGGUGCAAGCGUUAUCCGGAAUCACUGGGUUUAAAGGGUGCGUAGGCGGCUUUGUAAGUCAGGGGUGAAAGCCCGCAGCUUAACUGCGGAACUGCCUUUGAUACUGCAGAGAUUGAAAGAGGUUGAGGUCAGCGGAACGUGACAUGUAGCGGUGAAAGGCAUAGAUAUGUCACAGAACACCAAUUGCGAAGGCAGCUGGCUGGACCUACUUUGACGCUGAGGCACGAAAGCGUGGGGAGCGAACAGG
rnacentral:rRNA from 1 species